AGAGUUUGAUCCUGGCUACAGGAUGAACGCUAGCGGCAGGCUUAACACAUGCAAGUCGAGGGGUAGAGGAAGCUUGCUUCCUUGAGACCGGCGCACGGGUGCGUAACGCGUAUGCAAUCUACCUUAUACAGGGGGAUAGCCCAGAGAAAUUUGGAUUAAUACCCCAUAGUAUAAUUGAAUGGCAUCAUUUAAUUAUUAAAGUUCCAACGGUAUAAGAUGAGCAUGCGUCCCAUUAGCUAGUUGGUGUGGUAACGGCACACCAAGGCGACGAUGGUAGGGGUCCUGAGAGGAGAUCCCCCACACUGGUACUGAGACACGGACCAGACUCCUACGGGAGGCAGCAGUGAGGAAUAUUGGUCAAUGGGCGCAAGCCUGAACCAGCCAUGCCGCGUGCAGGAUGACGGUCCUAUGGAUUGUAAACUGCUUUUGUACAGGAAGAAACACUCCCUCGUGAGGGAGCUUGACGGUACUGUAAGAAUAAGGAUCGGCUAACUCCGUG
rnacentral:rRNA from 1 species